GUGUGUUUUACUUUUCCCCUUCUCCCUUCUCCCUUCUCUCUACGUCCGUCCCCUUCUCCUGAACCCUAACACGAAGCUCGCACACGAAGAAAACACAUGAAGGCAGAUUUGUUGGAGACACGGAUACCCACACGAAAUGGAAGGAAGCGAUUUUUAGAAACUGGGCAAUCAAUCAAGGCCUUGAGGUAACCUUCCCGAGUUUUUUGAUUUCGACUUCGCAACAGAUUUCAUUUGUGAAUCUGGGCAAUCAAUCAAGUCAUUGAGGGAUUACUAUACUACAAGUAUUUCAAGUAGGCAGAUAGUGAUCAAUACAUAGAGCCUGGAUCUACAAGAAAGAAAAAAUGAAAUGUUAAGGAAGGAGAAAGAGGUUGAGCAGAGACUCCGCGAUAUCAAGAAGAGGGAGAUUGAGCUCCGUAAGAUGGCGGAUGAAAUAAGGCGUUUACGCACACUACUCCGACUGUAUUAGGCUUUUGUAGUUGUUGUGUCAUAUUGCUUAGUAGUAUUUAACUGAUUUUUGGAAGGCUGUAUUGGGCUUUUGUAGUUGUUGUGUCAUGGUUUGUAAAUCAUGGAAGAAACUCUUGUAAUCAGAAACUUGUGCAAAAAUCAAUGUGUCAUGUUCUUUUUGUUUUUGUAAAUUAUCAGGAACCUGUGCAAAAAUCUAUGUGACUCGUUCCUUGUUUGUGUAAAUUAUCAGGAACCUGUGCAAAAA